GUACCCGCUGAACUUAAGCAUAUCAAUAAGCGGAGGAAAAGAAACUAACAAGGAUUCCCCUAGUAACGGCGAGUGAAGCGGGAUGAGCUCAAAUUUGAAAUCUGGCGGCCUCCGGUCGUCCGAGUUGUAAACUAGAGAAGCGUUUUCCGUGCCGGCCUGUGUACAAGUCCCUUGGAAUAGGGCGUCAUAGAGGGUGAGAAUCCCGUCCUUGACACAGACCACCGGUGCUUUGUGAGGCGCUCUCGACGAGUCGAGUUGUUUGGGAAUGCAGCUCAAAAUGGGUGGUAAAUUCCAUCUAAGGCUAAAUAUUGGCGAGAGACCGAUAGCGAACAAGUACCGUGAGGGAAAGAUGAAAAGCACUUUGGAAAGAGAGUUAAACAGUACGUGAAAUUGUUGAAAGGGAAACGAUUGAAGUCAGUCAUGUGUGCUCGGACUCAGCUGGGCUCGCCCCGGUCUAUUUCCGAGUGUCGCAGGUCAGCAUCAGUUUCGGGCGGUGGAAAACGGGCGGGGGAAUGUGGCAUCUCCGGAUGUGUUAUAGCCCCCGUUUGGAUGCAUCGCGUGGGACUGAGGAACGCAGCGCGCCUCUCGGGGCCGGUCCUUUUGGACACGAACGCGCUUAGGAUGCUGGCAUAAUGGCUUUUAAACGACCCGUCUUGAAACACGG
rnacentral:rRNA from 1 species